UGCAAGGACAAUACACCUUCCCUGCUUCAGAAGAGUUGCCCUGAUUAUCUCAGAGAACCGUCCCCUGUACCCUCCUCUUCCUCACUUUUAAAAUAACCUGUCUUCUGUGGCUUUACAGUUUAAACCGAUGCUGGCGGCAGCAGCUUUGCCGGACAGGUCAGGUUUGAGCAGCCCUGGGGGUGGCUCAGGGCAGGAGGCUCCCAGGCUCGGCUCAUUAGUGAGAUGAAUUGCUGGGGGCUGGGAUAAAAGGCCCAGCCCAGAGGGGUGAAGGCCAGGAUUAGGUUCAGCUGCAGGGGAAAGGCUGAUGCGAGGCAUGGCUGGGGUCUGCUGCACUGGAGGGACGCAGCUAUGACUAAAGUCCCUGCAGAAAGAGGUGCUGAGAAGCUCCUCUGUUAUGGCAGGAGACUAUGCUUACAUCCCUAGGAACAUAAAGCUAUAGACCAAAAAAACCACCAAACCCUUACAGCCAAGCAGUAAAUCUUGUGAGAUGAGAUGUUUUCCAUCUGCGUCUCCUGAAGAAAGGCUUUACCUUGGAAGGCUGGAAUGCAAACUGAGAUUGCAGAGGAGGAGGCAGUGAGGAGACAAACCUACAAACCUUUCUCCUGCACAGCAAGACACCUUUGGAGUCACGCUUCCCUACAGAAGAGGUGUUGCAGAUGGACCCCACUGUGUUUCUGAGGCAUUUGGUACUGUAAGUGGCUCACUUGAACGAAAGCGAUUUUGGGAAGAACAGCUGGGAGCUGGAGCAGGUUCAUCUUUCCAUCAGUCUUCUCCCUGAAGUCAGUGGAAGUGGUGACUGCACACAGCCUU